UACGUAGGUGGCGAGCGUUGUCCGGAUUUACUGGGCGUAAAGAGCGCGCAGGCGGCUGGUCAAGUCCGAUGUGAAAGCUCCCGGCUUAACUGGGAAAUUGCAUCGGAAACUGAUCGGCUGGAAGGUGGGAGAGGGUAGCGGAAUUCCCGGUGUAGUGGUGAAAUGCGUAGAUAUCGGGAGGAACACCAGUGGCGAAGGCGGGUCUCUGGGCAAUUCCUGACGCUGAGGCGCGAAAGCGUGGGGAGCAAACAGG
rnacentral:rRNA from 1 species